rnacentral:rRNA from 1 species
UACGGAGGGGGCUAGCGUUGUUCGGAAUUACUGGGCGUAAAGCGCGCGUAGGCGGCUUUGUAAGUUAGAGGUGAAAGCCCGGAGCUCAACUCCGGAACUGCCUUUAAGACUGCAUCGCUAGAAUUGUGGAGAGGUAAGUGGAAUUCCGAGUGUAGAGGUGAAAUUCGUAGAUAUUCGCAAGAACACCAGUGGCGAAGGCGGCUUACUGGUCCGGUUCUGACGCUGAGGCGCGAAAGCGUGGGGAGCAAACAGG